rnacentral:rRNA from 1 species
CAACCUGCCUGUAAGCGGGGAAUAACCCGUUGAAAGACGGACUAAUACCGCAUAAUACUAAAUUACUGCAUGGAAUUUAUUUAAACAUUUAUGGCUUACAGAUGGGCAUGCGCAUGAUUAGCUAGUUGGAGAGGUAACGGCUCCCCAAGGCAACGAUCAUUAGGGGUUCUGAGAGGAAGGUCCCCCCACACUGGUACUGAGACACGGACCAGACUCCUACGGGAGGCAGCAGUGAGGAAUAUUGGUCAAUGGACGAGAGUCUAGAACCAGCCAAGUCGCGUGCAGGAAGAAUUCGUCCUAGUGGAUUAGUAAACUGUCUUUUGCGAGGGGAAUAAAGUACAUCACGUGUGAUGUUUUGUAUGUACUCUGCGAAUAAGGAUCGGCUAACUCCGUGCCAGCCGCCGC